rnacentral:rRNA from 1 species
UACGGGGGGGGCAAGCGUUGUUCGGAAUUACUGGGCGUAAAGGGCGCGUAGGCGGCCUGCUAAGUCACACGUGAAAUCCCUCGGCUCAACCGGGGAACUGCGUGUGAUACUGGCGGGCUUGAAUUCGGGAGAGGGAUGUGGAAUUCCAGGUGUAGCGGUGAAAUGCGUAGAUAUCUGGAGGAACACCGGUGGCGAAGGCGGCAUCCUGGACCGAGAUUGACGCUGAGGAGCGAAAGCCAGGGGAGCAAACGGG